rnacentral:lncRNA from 1 species
GUAAACCUCAGGUUCUCCUCCUGCCUUUUGCUAAGUAUAUGUCUUGAUGACAAGCCUUCUGCUGAUGAGCUGUGUUUCUGGACCGAUCAUGGUAGAAGUCAAUUAACGUGUCCCUCACUUGGGGUUUCUCAAGGACAAGGUCUUAUUAUGUUGCCCAGACUAGUCUCCAACUCCUGGCCUCAAGUGAUCUCCCUGUCUCAGCCUCCCAAAGUGCUGGGAUUAAAGCUGCACUGAUGAGGAAACUGAAACAGAAAAUCCAGAGUAAAUUCCACCAGGCCACACAGCAAGGUCUGAUAGAGCCAGGAGAGACUUUAUGAAAUCCAGACUCUCACACUAAUGCUCUAUCAGCUAGACCUCCAUGUGAGUCUCCCCAAUGUAGGUAGGAAGUGCUUUCCCUAAAAUGCUCAUAAAGCAAAUCAGAGCAAUGCUGCAUUCCAUGUGAUUUCUAAUUUGAAAUGCAAACAAUUGCCAAUUUGUUUGACUUGUAUUUAUAAUUAUUUCCUUGUGAAUUACUCAUCACUAAAUGCUUUA